GAUGAACGCUGGCGGCGUGCCUAAUACAUGCAAGUCGAGCGAACGGACGAGAAGCUUGCUUCUCUGAUGUUAGCGGCGGACGGGUGAGUAACACGUGGAUAACCUACCUAUAAGACUGGGAUAACUUCGGGAAACCGGAGCUAAUACCGGAUAAUAUUUUGAACCGCAUGGUUCAAAAGUGAAAGACGGUCUUGCUGUCACUUAUAGAUGGAUCCGCGCUGCAUUAGCUAGUUGGUAAGGUAACGGCUUACCAAGGCAACGAUGCAUAGCCGACCUGAGAGGGUGAUCGGCCACACUGGAACUGAGACACGGUCCAGACUCCUACGGGAGGCAGCAGUUGGGAAUCUUCCGCAAUGGGCGAAAGCCUGACGGAGCAACGCCGCGUGAGUGAUGAAGGUCUUCGGAUCGUAAAACUCUGUUAUUAGGGAAGAACAUAUGUGUAAGUAACUGUGCACAUCUUGACGGUACCUAAUCAGAAAGCCACGGCUAACUACGUG
rnacentral:rRNA from 1 species